UACGAAGGGGACUAGCGUUGUUCGGAAUCACUGGGCGUAAAGCGCACGUAGGCGGAUAUGUCAGUCAGGGGUGAAAGCCCGGGGCUCAACUCCGGAAUUGCCUUUAAGACUGCAUCGCUAGAAUUGUGGAGAGGUAAGUGGAAUUCCGAGUGUAGAGGUGAAAGUUCGUAGAUAUUCGGAAGAACACCAGUGGCGAAGGCGACUUACUGGACACAUAUUGACGCUGAGGUGGCGAAAGCGUGGG
rnacentral:rRNA from 1 species